AGCGAACGCUGGCGGCAGGCCUAACACAUGCAAGUCGAACGAACUCUUCGGAGUUAGUGGCGGACGGGUGAGUAACACGUGGGAACGUGCCUUUUGGUUCGGAAUAACUCAGGGAAACUUGUGCUAAUACCGAAUGUGCCCUUCGGGGGAAAGAUUUAUCGCCAUUAGAGCGGCCCGCGUCUGAUUAGCUAGUUGGGGAGGUAACGGCUCACCAAGGCGACGAUCAGUAGCUGGUCUGAGAGGAUGACCAGCGACACUGGGACUGAGACACGGCCCAGACUCCUACGGGAGGCAGCAGUGGGGAAUCUUGCGCAAUGGGCGAAAGCCUGACGCAGCCAUGCCGCGUGAAUGAUGAAGGUCGUAGGAUUGUAAAAUUCUUUCACCGGGGACGAUAAUGACGGUACCCGGAGAAGAAGCCCCGGCUAACUUCGUG
rnacentral:rRNA from 1 species